rnacentral:rRNA from 1 species
UACGUAGGGUCCAAGCGUUGUCCGGAUUUAUUGGGCGUAAAGAGCUCGUAGGCGGUUCCGUAAGUCGGAUGUGAAAACUCAGGGCUCAACCCGGAGACGCCAUCCGAUACUGCGGUGACUGGAGUCUGGUAGGGGAUCACGGAAUACCUGGUGUAGCGGUGAAAUGCGCAGAUAUCAGGUGGAACACCGAUGGCGAAGGCAGUGAUCUGGGCCAGUACUGACACUGAGGCGCGAAAGCGUGGGGAGCGAACAGG